AGAAGUAAUGUAAACAACACUUGUUGUUCACCGGACUGUAUAUGGUACCCACCACCCUGGAGCCAACCAACCAAUUGACUUAAAGAGCCAGGUCUCCUCUUCUCAAGCUCACAUUACACUGAUUCCUGGUGGCAGUCCAAUGCAAUGACAUCAAGUAAGGUUGAAAAUGUGAUUUAAUGGCAGACCAACAUUUUAAAGUCUUUUCUACUGGCCAGCAACAAUGAUAGCCAUCUUGUAGGCCCAAGUCUAAGGAGGCUACCUUCUUCCAUUUCUAUGAAGCCAAAAAUCUCAUUAAGUGCUUCUGCAUGUUUUGAGGAAACUAAAAAGUG